ensembl:processed_transcript 4930581F22Rik RIKEN cDNA 4930581F22 gene
GGCGGGGCAGCACUGGCGCAGUGGCUCCGCUCGGCCCGGUCCCUGUCCCGGGAGCGGGGCCGGCCUGGGAGCGGAAACUCAAGAACAGGAAUGGAAGUCCAUCCUUCUAAUAUCCUCCCAUGCCCUCAUGGCAGUCAGGCGCCAGGCAUCCUGUCUCCAGAGGAAACCCCUUCAAGCCUUUAACCCUGAUGCCGUGGGCUCUAGAAUUGCCUGGACUGCAAACAGUGCAGAAACCACCCUGCAGGACUGUCCAUUUCAGGAGUCAGCACAGUGUUACCCAGUUCCUAGCUUGAGCACCCUGGGGCUACAAGGAAAGUAUUAGAUCCAGUCCCCCUUCCCCCGGAAGCUUGCUAUCUAGUUGCAGAGAAGGGGUGGCGGGUGUUGUGCUGGACUCCCAUCAAGAAACAGGCGGCACAGGAUGUGACUAAGUGGAAAAAGAAGAAGGCAAAAGAAAAACUGCUCGGGGAGAAAGAACAACUGAGAUAUGUCUGGCAAGUUGAU